rnacentral:rRNA from 1 species
UACGAAGGGGGCAAGCGUUGUUCGGAAUUACUGGGCGUAAAGGGCGCGUAGGCGGUGCUCUAAGUCAGGCGUGAAAGCCCUGGGCUCAACCCGGGGAUUGCGCUUGAUACUGGAGCGCUUGAAUCCAGGAGAGGUUGGUGGAAUUCCCAGUGUAGAGGUGAAAUUCGUAGAGAUAGGAAAGAACACCGGUGGCGAAGGCGGCCAACUGGACUGGUAUUGACGCUGAGGCGCGAAAGCGUGGGGAG